GCUCCAUGGAAGAGCACCUGCCUGAGGUGGGGUGGGGGCAAAAUGGCCUAAGCAGUAAGAAAUGGAUGCAGGGAAGUGGAGGCUGUGUUGGGGGAUGCAGGAGGUCAGCAAGGAAGAGGCUGGAAAAAUGUGUCCUAUUGUCUCAGAUGAGGAACACCUAUAAAAACUUAAAUAUAAAUUGAAAACUUUGGACUUAAUGGGUUAAGUUAUUGGAAACUUGUAAGGACUAAAAUGUUAAUGAUUAAUAAUCUGUUAAUAUGUAACCUGCUGGGAGUGCCAACACUUUUUAAAAGGACUUUGGAGCCUGGAAGACUUUGGCUCAAAGGUAGUUGGCUUUAUUUUUUUAAUCAUGGAAAAUUUCAAUAAUAUAAUAUACCCUAUGUAUUCAUCUUUUGGCUUCAGUAAUUAAUCACUCAGAGCCAAUUGGGCCUCAUCCACAUUGCCAUUCGCUUCUCCCUUUCUAUAUUGUUUUAAAAUAAAUCUCAGAAACAAUGUUAUCUGAAAGAUUAAUACUCUAAAAAAACCCAUAAUAUCAUCAAUUUUUUUUUGCAGUUUGUUUCAAUCAAGAUCAAAAUGAAAUCCAUACAUGCCAAUGGUUGAUCUGCCUUUUAAGUUUUUGUCUUUUUUUCUUUCAAUGUAUUUGUUAAAACAAAAACACACCCAAGUUGUUUGUCCUUUAGAAUUCCCCAGAGGUAGGACUUUGGUGAUGGCAUCAUUGUCUUGUGGCUUAAUGCUUCCCCAUCUCUGUAGUUGCUGUAGUUUGCUUUGUGGAUAUUGAUCAAAUUCAGGUUCGAUCUUUUGGACCAUUUUGUUGAUGGCAUUAUGUUCCCCAUCAGGAAGUACGUCAUGAAAACCUAGUUGUCUCUUUUUGCAAUGUUUCUACUCAUUGAUAAUAUCAAGAUAGAAAUGGAUUUUAAUAGUGGAAUUUCGGUAUACAAGAAGUUCAAUAGGCACAGCUAUUUUGGAAGACAGAGAAACAGAUGUUUUGGUACUUCUUAUAUGAAAUCUUAAUCAUACAAAGAAGGCAAGUUUUAAUAUUUUUUUUCAUAUAGCAUUGGCUGCAUUAUUCAGUGGACAUUGGCUGAGUGCCUACUAUAUACAGAGAACUGAAGUAGGUGGGUCCUAUGGAGAUCAUGGGAUUGAAUUGGAUAUAGAACCUGUGAUCAGGAGUAUCUAGGAUCCAGCAGAAGAGACAAGAACUCUGAUUCAAGAUAAAAGAGAUCAUCACCAUAAGAAUGGUAGAGGCUUUUACUCAAGAGAAAUGAAAUCCAUGUCACUCGAAGGUUUAUGCACAAUGUUCACAGUAAGCAGAAAUGAGAACAGCAGCAGGUUCAUCUGGGAGCACCACACUGCUGUCUAGAGGGAAGAGGUCCUGAGGUACCCAGCAACGUGGAUCCUCACCUGUCAUUAAUGUGAUUGUGAAUGGAAAAAUAUGUGUGAGGGGGAGACUGGCUGUUUUGGGGGGUUUCGUUAUUUUCUGUACAGAAAGGUUGAAAAAUACAAAAUUUGGAAUUGUUAA